rnacentral:lncRNA from 1 species
ACAUUGAUGUAAAAGAGGAGGGCGGGUGAGCAGAGCCUACUUGUGUUCUCACUCUCUCACUCCCUGUCUCCAGCUCUCAUCCAACAAGCAACUUAGCCGCUGACACACUGCCAGCUGGUCCCAUCAAGUCAGGUGGCAUGGGUCACCCAACAAGCUGCCUGUUGGAAUAGCUGGCUGUUACAUAGCCUGUUAAGAACCAGGCGAACAAGACCACCAAAAUGUGGCAGCUGCUGUCCAGACAAGACACCUUCAGGCAGAGCUGGGUGCAGCCCGGUGACUCGUGCAGACAACAUCUGGGUUUUAGUUGGAAGACGGCCUCUGCAUUGGAUGAAGCUCUUCCCACAGAAUGGCCUCUUCUCUGGUCUGGAAUCUGCUAGGACUCCAUCUUCCCACACUGGGUCCAUGCAUGGUGUCCAGAAGAUCAAAUCCUAUAUGUUGGAGUGUAUGCGUUCUGGAUAAGUUACGGAAAAGGCACAAGGAGG